rnacentral:lncRNA from 1 species
ACCACACACACACCACACUACACACCAUACACUAUACACAUACCACACUACACAGUACACACCACACACACUACACACCACACAGUACACACUGCACACCACACUACACACUACCCACCACACACUACACACACACCACACUACACACUACACACCACACAUACUACACACCACACACUAAACACAUACGACACUACACACUACACACCACACACUACACACACACCACACUACACAGUACACACCACACACUACACACACACCACACUACACACUACACACCACACACACUACACACCACACACUACACACUACACACCACACACGGUACACACCACACACUACACACACACCACACUACACACUACACACCACACACUGCAUACACACACUACACACUACACACCACACACACACCACACUACACACCAUACACUACACACAUACCACACUACACAGUACACACCACACACACUACACACCACACAGUACACACUACACACCACACUACACACUACCCACCACACACUACACACACACCACACUACACACUACACACCACACAUACUACACACCACGCACUACACACAUACCACACUACACACUACACACCACACACUACACACACACCACACUACACAGUACACACCACACCACACACUACACACACAUCACACUACACACUACCCACCACACAUACUACACACCACGCACUACACACAUACCACACUACACACUACACACCACACACUACACACAUACCACACUACACAGUACACACCACACUACACACUACACACCACACACACACCACACACACUACACACCACACACUACACACGCACCACACUACACACUACACACCACACACUACACAUACACCACACUACACACUACACACAAAUACUACAUACACACACCACA